CUGGCUCAGAUUGAACGCUGGCGGAAUGCUUUACACAUGCAAGUCGAGCGGCAGCGCGGGGCAACCUGGCGGCGAGCGGCGAACGGGUGAGUAAUACAUCGGAACAUACCCAGUCGUGGGGGAUAACACUUCGAAAGAAGUGCUAAUACCGCAUACGUCCUGAGGGAGAAAGCGGGGGAUCUUCGGACCUCGCGCGAUUGGAGUGGCCGAUGUCAGAUUAGCUAGUUGGUGGGGUAAAGGCCUACCAAGGCGACGAUCUGUAGCUGGUCUGAGAGGACGACCAGCCACACUGGGACUGAGACACGGCCCAGACUCCUACGGGAGGCAGCAGUGGGGAAUUUUGGACAAUGGGGGCAACCCUGAUCCAGCCAUUCCGCGUGAGUGAAGAAGGCCUUCGGGUUGUAAAGCUCUUUCGGCAGGAACGAAACGGCGCGCUCUAACAUAGCGCGUUAAUGACGGUACCUGAAGAAGAAGCACCGGCUAACUACGUGCCAGCAGCCGCGGUAAUACGUAGGGUGCGAGCGUUAAUCGGAAUUACUGGGCGUAAAGCG
rnacentral:rRNA from 1 species